UACAGAGGUCUCAAGCGUUGUUCGGAUUCAUUGGGCGUAAAGAGCUCGUAGGCGGUCUGUUGCGUCCGCUGUGAAAACUCGGGGCUUAACCCCGAGCCUGCAGUGGAUACGGGCAGACUAGAGGUAGGUAGGGGAGAAUGGAAUUCCCGGUGUAGCGGUGAAAUCGCGCAGAUAUCGGGAGGAACGACCGGUGGCGAAGGCG
rnacentral:rRNA from 1 species